UCUGAUGUUGAAUCAUUUAUAGCAGGCUUUUAAAAAAUAUUUAUGAUUCUAGGGAUGCUUCUCUGCUAAUUUAUUACUUGGAAUUGAUUGCUAGAUGUGAACAUGGGUUUAACCCUACGCUUGUGCUCAAAUCCUGAUUGACCUGAACAGCACCAAGAUAUCACAGAAUUUACAAUAGACACAGAAUUUAGAAUAUCAGAUGAAAAGGAGACCUCAGGGUUAUUCAGCCCAAUUUGUCUUGGUAAAGACAAGGAGUGUGGGAGUUGAUCUUUCCAUCCUGCACGGGCAGUGA
rnacentral:lncRNA from 1 species